rnacentral:rRNA from 1 species
UACAGAGGGGGCAAGCGUUAUUCGGAAUUAUUGGGCGUAAAGGGCGCGUAGGCGGCCUGGCAAGUGGAAGGUGAAAUCCCUCGGCUUAACCGAGGAACUGCCCUCCAAACUGCUUGGCUUGAGUCCGGGAGAGGUGAGUGGAAUUCCCGGUGUAGCGGUGAAAUGCGUAGAUAUUGGGAGGAACACCAGUGGCGAAGGCGGCUCACUGGACCGGAACUGACGCUGAGGCGCGAAAGCGUGGGGAGCAAACGGG